GACGAACGCUGGCGGCGUGCUUAACACAUGCAAGUCGAACGGAAAGGCCCUGCUUUUGUGGGGUGCUCGAGUGGCGAACGGGUGAGUAACACGUGAGUAACCUGCCCUUGACUUUGGGAUAACUUCAGGAAACUGGGGCUAAUACCGGAUAGGAGCUCCUGCUGCAUGGUGGGGGUUGGAAAGUUUCGGCGGUUGGGGAUGGACUCGCGGCUUAUCAGCUUGUUGGUGGGGUAGUGGCUUACCAAGGCUUUGACGGGUAGCCGGCCUGAGAGGGUGACCGGCCACAUUGGGACUGCGAUACGGCCCAGACUCGUACGGGAGGCAGCAGUGGGGAAUAUUGCACAAUGGGCGGGAGCCUGAUGAGGCAACGCCGCGUGCGGGAUGACGGCCUUCGGGUUGUAAACCGCUUUCGCCUGUGACGAAGCGUGAGUGACGGUAAUGGGUAAAGAAGCACCGGCUAACUACGUG
rnacentral:rRNA from 1 species